ACGGCUCAGUAACACGUAGUCAACAUGCCCAGGGGACGUGGAUAACCUCGGGAAACUGAGGAUAAACCGCGAUAAGUCACUACUUCUGGAAUGGGUAAUGACUUAAAUCUAUAUGGCCCCUGGAUUGGACUGCGGCCGAUCAGGCAGUUGGUGAGGUAAUGGCCCACCAAACCUGUUACCGGUACGGGCUCUGAGAGGAGGAGCCCGGAGAUGGGCGCUGAGACAAGGGCCCAGGCCCUAUGGGGCGCAGCAGGCGCGAAACCUCUGCAAUAGGCGAAAGCCUGACAGGGUUACUCUGAGUGAUUCCCGCUAAGGGGAUCUUUUGGCACCUCUAAAAAUGGUGCAGAAUAAGGGGUGGGCAAGUCUGGUGUCAGCCGCCGCGGUAAUACCAGCACCCCGAGUGGUCGGGACGAUUAUUGGGCCUAAAGCAUCCGUAGCCGGUCAUGCAAGUCCUCCGUUAAAUCCACCUGCUCAACAGAUGGGCUGCGGAGGAUACUACAAGGCUAGGAGGCGGAAGAGGCAAGCGGUACUCAGUGGGUAGGGGUAAAAUCCUCUGAUCCAUUGAAGACCACCAGUGGCGAAGGCGGCUUGCCAAUACGCGCUCGACGGUGAGGGAUGAAAGCUGGGGGAGCAAACCGGAUUAGAUACCCGGGUAGUCCCAGCUGUAAACGAUGCAGACUCGGUGAUGGGCCGGCUUCAUGCCCGCUCAGUGCCGCAGGGAAGCCGUUAAGUCUGCCGCCUGGGGAGUACGGUCGCAAGGCUGGAAACUUAAAAGGAAUUGGCGGGGGAGCAC
rnacentral:rRNA from 1 species